CUCUGGGCGGUGCCCCAAGCGGGAUUUAGCCCGGUCGGCCCUUUCUGUGGCUCCGCGACGCUGGCGAAGCCGGUAACUUGUGGCCGCUGGUUGAGCGCUUGACCGAGUUACGCUUUGCUGUCUCACCUUCGGCCUUAGACCCCUACCCGGCGAAAGCUGAGCCAGGGAGAAAUCCAAGUUGCAAGCUGCCUUGUCUGAAGGGAUUCUCGGGAUGGCUGGGAGGUGGAAGAAGAUUGAGAAAAUGGCUGGUUUUAAGAUGGAAGGCGUUGCUGCCCAGCUUUGGAAGCCAGCGGUGGGGGUAGUCUUCUAAAAACGGGUGGUAGAGAUUUCUUUACAGCCAAGCCGUAAAGACUCGCUCCUUCCAGUCUUGGUGCUAAAAAUACCAAGCUUCCUUUAGAUGGCCUGCUGAGAUUUGUUCAUCACCUUUAUGCUGAGGAGAUGGCUGGGCUGAUUCUUGGAAGUGAAAGGCCAUAAGGACAGGCAGAUAGAUGUACAGAGGUAUCCACACCGCUGUGAUGAAAAGGCCGACCUCAUCCCAGCCUCGGCCUGAUUGCCGGUAGAGCAAAGCACAGCCUUGCUCCUGCUUGGUAAACUCGUGUAAAUUUGAGGGAGCUGACCGCCAGAUCUGCACCUCCUGGGCAACACAAAGGUGGCCUAAGACCGAGGCUGUGUUUUCAUACGCACAGCCAACCUGUUUAAGUUCAUUGUAAAGAGAAAAAAUCCAGAAAUAGAAUGUUCCUUUCCACUGCUUGUUGUGCUUGUUUAGCAAGGGGGGACUCAGCCUGUCUCUAGAACACCCCAGAUAGCUAAAAGAAGGCAAGGAAACUUGUCCAUAUUGUCACCUCUAGCUAACGAAAAUGCAUGGCUGGGUGUCUGGUGUAUGAGCACCAGGUCUUGUGUUUAUCCUGGGGCUGCAGCAGCUGAAACCUCUCCCUCCACACAGUUACUUUUUAGUAGAAAAGACAAAUCAUUUGAGGUUGAAAUCAAUGCUGAGACAAAGACAAAGGCCUGGGCUAGAAUAAGGGAGGGGUCAGGGAAAGGUGAGGAGAUGAUGUUGAAAUUGAAAGCAAAAGAAUGAAGAGUUAGCCUUGGGAAAAAGUGGCAGGUAAUCUAAUCUAGAAGUACAAGUUGAGAGUAGUAGGUGCCAAAGCCUUGAAAAGGGCACACUCUGGAUGUGUCACGGAGCUGAAAGAAAACUGCAUGGCUAUCAUUGGGCAAAGACUGGGGACGAAGGGAAGAGCAGCAUACCAAGGGCCUAUGGACUGUGCCAAAUGAUAGAACAUUUUUGUUAAGCCAAAAAUGAAGGGCUUAUGGAAAAAAGUAACAUUCUAAUUUUCUGCUGUAAGAUGAGAAAAUGUAGUAGUUGUCAUACAAAAAUUAAAAGCUUUAAUUUUAAUUAAAUUUAAUCAAAUUAAAAUUAAAUUUAAUUUUAAACCUUUGUCUUAAACUUUUGCCUUAAUCCCAGCCAAAUAUGAAGAAAGUUCAAACUAAAGUGGUGGCUGAAGACUGGUGUGGUGGCACACACCUGUAAUCCCAGCUCUCAGGGAGGCAGAGGCAGGUGGAUCUCUGUGAGUUUGAGGCCAGCCUGGUCUAGUACAGCCAAGGCUACACAGAGAAACUUAUCUUGAAAAAGGAAAAAAAAAACAAUAAACAAAUAAAUUAAAUGGUGAAUAAGAUGAAUAGUUCAGAGAUACUAUUUUCAAUUUAAGACCAAAAAGAUGGAUGUAGGAGGAGGAAAUGUAGAAAUAAAAGGGAUAAUUUUCAAAUUUCUUUCAGAGAGUGGCAAACACUGCCUCAUUAUUGUGUGGGGUGGCCUUCAGGAUGACCAUCAACAAUCUCGUUUUAACCAUGCUGACUUGAAAAUGCCUGAUAUACACCCGGAGUUGUCACCAAGAGCACAGAAGAAGGUGUAUCUUGGGAGAUCAUCAGAUCAGUCUCAAGAAACAAUGGAAGCCUAAGAUUCAUUAUGAGCAGGUCCUACAGGCUUGGCCAAGGCUAAGGACAAUAAAAAAAUAAAGAAAGAGAAAAUGCAGGAAGAAAGGAAGAAGAGGAGGAAAAGAAGGAGGAGGAGGAGGAGAAGUAGAAGGAGAAGAAACAAGGCCAGCAAGGUGGCUUGUCCAGCAGAGAGGCACUUGACAUAAAAGGACUGCAGAAAGUACCUUCAGGAAGAACUCCGGUGAGUCCUGAUGCCCAACCAACCCAAUUCACCCUCCACCUUGCCAGAAGCUCUGAAAAGAACCAACAAACACCACACCUAACA